rnacentral:rRNA from 1 species
UACGUAGGGGGCGAGCGUUGUCCGGAGUUACUGGGCGUAAAGGGCACGCAGGCGGUGCGGCGCGUUUCGCGUGACAGCGGAGGGCUUAACUUUCCGAGGAUGCGAAAGACGGCGGCACUUGAGGGCCAGAGAGGGACACGGAAUUCCGGGUGGAGUGGUGAAAUGCGUAGAGAUCCGGAGGAACACCGAAGGCGAAGGCAGUGUCCUGGCUGGUGACUGACGCUGAGGUGCGAAAGCUAGGGGAGCGAACGGG